GCGCCCGUAGCUCAGCGGAUUAGAGCACCUGCCUUCGGAGCAGGGUGUCGGAGGUUCGAAUCCUUCCGGGCGCG
rnacentral:tRNA from 1 species